rnacentral:rRNA from 1 species
UACGGAGGGUGCAAGCGUUAUCCGGAUUCACUGGGUUUAAAGGGUGCGUAGGUGGGCAGGUAAGUCAGUGGUGAAAUCUUUGGGCUUAACCCGAAAACUGCCAUUGAUACUAUUUGUCUUGAAUAUUGUGGAGGUCAGCGGAAUAUGUCAUGUAGCGGUGAAAUGCUUAGAUAUGACAUAGAACACCAAUUGCGAAGGCAGCUCGCUGGAACGUAACUGACGCUGAGACGCGAAAGCGUGGGGAGCAAACAGG